GACGAACGCUGGCGGCAUGCCUAAUACAUGCAAGUCGAGCGAACAGAUGAAGUGCUUGCACUUCUGACGUUAGCGGCGAACGGGUGAGUAACACGUAAGGAAUCUACCUAUAAGCGGGGGAUAACAUUCGGAAACGGGUGCUAAUACCGCAUAAUAUCUUCUUCCGCAUGGAAGAAGAUUGAAAGACGGCUCUGCUGUCACGUAUAGCUGACCUUGCGGUGCAUUAGUUAGUUGGUGGGGUAACGGCCUACCAAGACGAUGAUGCAUAGCCGACCUGAGAGGGUGAUCGGCGACAAUGGAACUGAGACACGGCCCAAACUCCGACGGGAGGCAGCAGUAGGGAAACUUCCGCAAUGGGCGAAGGCCUGACGGAGCAAUGCCGCGUGAGUGAAGAAGGCCUUCGGGUCGUAAAACUCUGUUAUAAGAGAAGAACAAAUUGUAGAGUAACUGCUACAGUCUUGACGGUAUCUUAUCAGAAAGCCACGGCUAACUACGUGCCAGCCGCCGCGGUAA
rnacentral:rRNA from 1 species